AUUAAUACAGUCAUCGUGGGAACGAUAUUUUUACUACUUCGAUGGUAUUUAGUACACUUGCUAAAAUAUCUAUCAGGAGGUAACUUCAUCUUCUUCCCAAGCAAUGUAGGCCUUUCUUCCUCUUGAGUUUUGAAAAAAAUAACCAUGUUCCUUUGAAAAAAAUCAUCAAAUCAUCAACAUAGAAAUAGUAAGAUGAUAC
rnacentral:lncRNA from 1 species